rnacentral:rRNA from 1 species
GAUGAACGCUGGCGGCGUGCUUAACACAUGCAAGUCGAGCGAAGCGCUUUUGCGGAUUUCUUCGGAUUGAAGCAACUGUGACUGAGCGGCGGACGGGUGAGUAACGCGUGGGUAACCUACCUCAUACAGGGGGAUAACAGUUGGAAACGGCUGCUAAUACCGCAUAAGCGCACAGUACCGCAUGGUACCGUGUGAAAAACUCCGGUGGUAUGAGAUGGACCCGCGUCUGAUUAGCUAGUUGGUGGGGUAACGGCCUACCAAGGCGACGAUCAGUAGCCGACCUGAGAGGGUGACCGGCCACAUUGGGACUGAGACACGGCCCAAACUCCUACGGGAGGCAGCAGUGGGGAAUAUUGCACAAUGGGGGAAACCCUGAUGCAGCGACGCCGCGUGAGCGAUGAAGUAUUUCGGUAUGUAAAGCUCUAUCAGCAGGGAAGAAAAUGACG